CUACAGAGGGGCGAGCCGAUGCGGAAGUGGCUUUUCUAAACAUUGCAGCUCAGCAGUGGUAUCUUAUAAUACUUCCAUGUGCUGAUAUCAGGCAGAAAUAUCAACUUUACACUCCGUUCACAUUUCUUAUAAUAAGUCUUUACUUCAGAGGUCUGGACCAGGCUCGCUCACCACCGGACACAGCUGCUGGGCUUUCCAUAGCCAGAGCAUGAGGGUAUCUUUGGUGGGCGUGACAGCUGAAGCUUGCUGCUGCUUGUGACGUGGAGCAUAACUCGGGUCCCCUGGGAGCUGCAGCCUUCAGACUCCAAACUACACAGACAUGUCGUUUCUAAUCUAAUGUGACUGUUCACAGAUCAGCCCCGAGGCUGGAACACAGCUCCAGAGUUUCCUUCACACAUCCGGUGCCCCAGGACGUUUUGUCUGUCUCACUGGGACAGGGGACGAUGGUGCAGGGGCCGCCAGCUGACAGCAGUGGCUCCAGGUUCACUCCCCUGGUGGUGCUGGAGCUGGCUUCAGACACCAACCAGGACGCCAUCGCAUGGCUACUGAGCCGGAUCAGAGACCAGCAGCAGCAUGGAGGUGCGGAGCUGCUGGUGGAGCAGCUGGGCCCGGGCGUGGACGCUCAGGAGAAGGAGAACCCCAACAUGUUCCUGGUGGGGGCCACGUGGCAGAGGCUGCUCUCCGGGGCUGAGGAUGUGGGCCUCUUCAAGGAGUUCAACGAUGGAUCCAUGAGAGCCUUCACCUGCGCCAACAAACACGAAUUCAAGGACUAUCAAGGGGACGGGGACUCCUUCCUCAGUAUGGCUGAGUGUCAGUUCAUCAUUAAACACCUGCUGGACACAUUACGGGCCAAGCAGGAGACUCAUGUUCCGGGACACUCUGAGGUCAAGCUCUACCCCGGGAAGUCCAUCAUCCGCAGACUGCAGUCCAAGGGCAUCCUGGUCCAGGUGUUUCCCCUGCACGAAAAGGAGGAACUUAAGCGGCUGUCUUUUUCCUGGUACGGGAAGGUGAAGUUGUCCCUUCAGCCUCUGGACGACAUCAGACACUACUAUGGGGAGGGCCAGGCCCUGUACUUUGGCUUCCUGGAGUACUUCACCUUUGCCCUGGUGCCCAUGGCUCUCAUUGGCGUGCCUUACUAUCUGUUUGACUGGGAGGACUACGACAAAUACGUGGUCUUCGCUGCAUUCAACUUGGUGUGGUGCACCGUCAUCCUGGAGCUGUGGAAGCGCUGCAGCGCCUCGAUGGCCUACCGCUGGGGCACGCUGAGCAGGAAGAAGGCCUUCGAAGAGCCUCGGCCCGGUUUCCACGGCGUCCUGGGGUUCAACCCCGUGACGGGCCGCGAGGAGCCUCUCUACCCCCACGCCAAGAGGCUGCUGCGGAUCUACCUGGUGUCGCUGCCCUUCGUCCUGCUCUGCCUCUACAUGUCCCUCUACGUCAUGAUGAUCUACUUCCAGAUGGAGGGAUGGGCGCUGUCCGUCCACGACCAGGAGCCCAGCUUCUGGACAGGAGUCCUGCUCUUCAUCCCCUCUAUCAUCUACGCCGUGGUCAUCGAGGCCAUGAACCUCAUCUACAGAUACGCUGCCGAGUUCCUGACAGAGUGGGAAAACCACCGGCUGGAGUCUUCGUAUCAGAAUCACCUGGUCCUCAAAGUAUUAGUAUUCAACUUCUUCAACUGUUUCGCCUCGCUGUUCUACAUCGCCUUCGUCAUGCAGGACAUGGUGCUGCUCCGACAGAGUCUGGCCACGCUGCUGAUCACCAGUCAGAUCCUGAACCAGUUCAUGGAGGCUUUCCUGCCCUACUGGCUGCAGAGGAGACGCAACAAGAAGAUGAUGCGCAAAGUCCAGAAGAGAAGAACUCUGGAGGACAAAGAGCUCCCGCUGGCCGACCAGGUCCGGCUGGAGGCCGACAUGAGCACGUACCUGGGUACGUUUGAUGACUACCUGGAGCUGUUCCUGCUCUUUGGCUACGUCAGCCUGUUCUCCUGCGUCUACCCUCUGGCUGCCGUGCUGGUGGUGCUGAACAACGUCACCGAGGUUUACUCGGAUGCCUUCAAGAUGUGCCGGGUGUUCAAGAGACCCUUCUCUGACCCGGCAGCCAACAUAGGAGUCUGGCAGCUUGCCUUUGAGGCCAUGAGCGUGAUUGCUGUUGUGACCAACUGUUCGCUGAUAGGCAUGUCUCCACAAGUCAAGGCUUACUUCCCCGACUCUGAGUCCCAGCUCAUCCUGUGGACAGUGGCUAUUGAGCACGCACUGCUGGCCUUUAAGUUCAUCCUGAGCUACCUGAUCCCAGACGUUCCCAAACCCAUCCAGAUCAGUCUGGCCCGCCUGGAGUUUGAAUCUCUGGAGGCCCUCAAGAAAAAGAAAAUGCUGGAAGCGUCGGAGCCCAGUGAGCCGGUUCAGUGAGGAGGAGAGGAGGCCGUGGAGCAGUCGCCACCUCACACAGCUUUAACACUCUCUCUCACUCACACACACACACACACACACACACACACACACACACACACACACACACACACACACACUCAUGUUUGGAUUCAGAAAAAACACUGAUCUUUAGCAGGGUGCUGCUUAUCUGCAGUGUGUCACAGCAUCACACACAGCUGUUGGUCUCUGAAUGAGGAAGUGUAAUGGUGGU